CAUCUCUCUGCAGAAACUUCCAAUGCAUUCAGACGUUACGUCUCCCUAUUCUUUACCAGUAACAGAAAGUAGAGGACAGAUUAGUCUCAGCCUGUCUCCAUGGAGUAAUGGUUUUCUCAGUGUCAAGGAGAUAGAUGAGCCUUCAUCCAGUCACUGAUGGAAGCUGAUGCAGAGAUCCACAGCCAAGCAGCAGGCUGAGCUCCAGGAGUCCAGUUGAAGAGAGAGAAGAGGAUUCUAUGAGGAAAUGACAUCAACAUCAUGAUGGGAAAACCUACAGAGACAACCAAACCAAGCUAGUGAGAACUUAUGAAUUUUAGACCAACAGCUGUAGAGCUUCCAUGGGACUAGAAUGGGCCCUCUGUAUAAGCAUAGCUUGAUCUGCUUAAGGACCCCCUGGUACUAGGAUCAGGAUCCAUCCCUGGUUCAUGAGCUGGCUUUUUGGAUCCCAUUACCUAUGGUGGGACACCUUGCACAGCCUUGAUGCAGGG